UAGAAAUACUUCGUUACUGUACUUAAGUCGUUUUUUUGGGUAUCAGUAAUUUACUUUACUAUUCAUAUUUCUGUCAACUUUUACUUCACUACAUAAAAAAAUGAAAAAAAGUCUACAUUUACUCCGAUACAUUUCCCUGACACAUUCGUAACUCGCUACAAAAUCAAAUCAAUCUGAAGCUGGAAAAAAAAGACGAAUCAUGUUGGAAAAAAAGAUGCAAGCAACAUCGGCACGCUCAUGGGGGAACUUGUUUAGCUAGGCAGCAGGCGACGACAUGCAGAGUUGAUCCAAUCCUCACCAGUUUGGGCAAAUCCAAGGGUCCUAACGUGUCAACCCCACCCAUCGGGAGCCUGUUAACGUUACUUGCCAACCCAAAACAGUCAUCCACAAUCAUGUCCGACAUCGUUCUACCACCACUUCCUGAUGAGGAUGAACUCCCUUGGCUGUAUCUAUAAUAAAUGUUGUCUUUUCUCGGAAUGAAGGAUUCAUCCUACCGGAUGAAAUGUCUGUUAUGUUUACCAACAGUUCAGGAAAUACUAGCCUUCAAGAUCUCGCCGUCGAACUUAAAAAACAAAUUGAGAGAAAGCAUGUACACCAUCUUAAGAAGUAUGGAGAACUGACAGCAAACACACUGGAGAGAAAACAUGCCCCUGAGACGCCCUCCACCAUCAAGCAGAGCACAUUACUGAAGACAGUGUAUCAAAAAUCCAUUGACAAAGCUGUGGUGAAGUAUGUGGUCCAAGGGCUCCAACCAUUCGCUGUUGUAGAAUAAGAACCAUUCAGAGAGUUUGUCCAAGAUCUGCAGCCUAACUCAAAGAUCGUAUCAAGGCCCACACUGCACUCCGGGAUUGAUGAAGCCUCCAAGGAAAUGAAGGUGACUGAGGCCAUGAGAGGAAUUGACCACAUCGCCACCACCACCGACUGCUGGUCUGCAAGAAGACAGAGCUUCAUUGGUGUUACAUCCCACUGGAUAGACCCUGACAGUCUCAACAGAUGCUCUGCAGCCCUGCCUGUAAACGGUUGAGAGGAUCGCACAACUUUGAUGUCUUGGCAGGCGCCCUAAAUGACAUCUAUUCUGAGUUUGAAAUCCAGGUUAAGAUUGUGUGAACAACAACGGCUCUAACUUAUUGAAAGCUUUCCAAGUUUUUGGAGAAGGUGAAAACAACGACACAGUGGAAGCAGUGUGUGGUGAAGCAGCUCAGCCAGGACAGGAAGAUGGUGACGAGGAACAAGAGGAGAGUGAAGUAGUGGAGUUUGUUGAUGUGGCAACGAACCUGAAUGAAGAUGGUGGUUUUGAGUACCAGCUGCUAAAGCACCAGCGCUGUGCUUGCCACCUACUCAAAUUAGUAUCUACAGUCGAUGCCCUGAAACCAACAUCCAGUGAGGCUUACAAAAAAGUGUCCCAUUUGGCAAGUGCCAAGCACUUUGGAACAAAUGCGGAAGAUACACACUUGCAGCCAAAACGGUUGAAGAUGCUUGUGACCUCCAGCUGCUGCGCCCAAAUGCUACGAGGUGGAAGUCCUGGUUCAUGGCUGUAGAAAGACUCCUGAGGAUUGACAAAGGAGAGGCAGCCAUCAGAGUUCUCUGCAUAGACUUCUAGGUUCCAAUGUUCAAUCCAGCUGCACUCAUCCUUCCUCACAGAGUAUGCUUCUACCAUGAGCCCAGUCUCAAAGGCCAUCAACAUCCUGCAGGCUGAAACCAAUGUCCAGAUGGGGUGGCUACUUCCUACUAUCAACCUGCUGAUCACUAAACUGGACCAAGUCAAGUUGUCCCUGAAGUACUGUAAGCCUCUGGUGGAUGUGCUACAACUGGGACUGAAGAAGCGCUUCAGCCACAUGUUUCACGACCCUGAGCUGAUCACAGCUGCAAUCCUUCUCCCCAAAUUCAAAACAACGUGGACGAAGGAUGACGCCACCAUCAGAAUGGGAAUGGACUACAUCAAGGACCACCUGGAAGAACCCUUGCUGCAGCUAGGUGAUGGCACCAGUUCAUCAGAUGAGGACAUCUUCUCUCCCGAGUGGCCAGCGGUCUAAGGCACUGCAUCUCAGUGCUAGAAGUGUCACUACAGACCCUGGUUCGAUUCCAGGCUGUAUCACAACCGACUGUGAUUGGGAGUCCCAUAGGGCGGUGUCGUUAGGGUUUGGUCGGGGUAGGCCGUCAUUGUAAAUAAGAAUUUGUUCUUAACUGACUUGCCUGGUUAAAUAAAAUAAAUGAAGACGUCUCAAGCACAAGAAAGCUCCAAACAGCUGGACAGAUACCUGGCCUGUUCAGCUGAUCAUAUGGAGUUGCUCAAGUCCUUCCCGGCAGUCUGUAAGCUGUCUGAGGCUAAACACACCCUUACCUGCAUCAACUGGCUGUGAAAGGCUGUUCAGCAUUGCCGGACUUGUUUUCAGCCCCAGGAGAGCAAGGGUAGAUUCCAUAAACUUUGAUAACCAGCUUUUACUGAAGAUCAAAUCCUUCAACUUCAAGUAAUGACAGCUUAAUGCUAGCAAGCCCAAGGACACGGAUGCCUUAUGCGUUUUGUUCAUUUAUUAAAAAAAUUCACCAGUUAUAGAUGUCCUUGUUACAAAGGCAUGACCUGACACACUGAUUUCUAGUACAGUUCCAUCAGUGGUGAUGUCCUUAUUGCUAUAGUAAGGUUGGGUGUAGUUCUGUACAUGUACUUUUUUUUAAUGUAUAGGGUUCUAUUAUAGCAUGUUCUUUCUAAAGCAAAGUGAUUGUGAUUGUCAGUGCUUAUGUUUACUGGCAAUAUUCCUUCAUUAAGGCAUUCUAUUUUGUCUGUAAGAUAUAUUUUGAAGUGUUGCCUAUUUGAGAAUCCACAUAAUUAAAAAAAAAUCGGAGCUCUUCUUGCAUCCGUAAGACUGUUACCUUUCAAAAAAGCUCAAACCAAAUAAAAGGUCUGUCUGUUUUGCUUUA